ensembl:lncRNA
UUGUACCACUGAGCACUGACUUAACAGGAGAACCCAACUGCAAAUGAACAUGAAUACUUGAAAAGCACUUUCAUUUACUCAUAUAACUUAUAUAAAAUUGUAGCUCUGAUUUUUUUUAAAAAAUAUUUGUAACAUUGCACUUGCAAGGCUAUUUAAAAUUGUAAUGUUAACAUUUAAAAUGUUAAUAUUUUAAUACUUGCACAAAUUAUUGGAAUUCCAGUAUUUAGUUUUAUAGAAGAAGCCUAAUUCAUCUGAAGAGUUCUGUAAAUGUACCAUUUUAAAUGUAAGGUAGAGCAAUACAUUGAAAUAGCCAAGAUUUCUCCUUUGGAUCUUUUUUAAGCCAGUGAAAUUUUAUAUUGUUUCUGUUAAAAUACUUGCAUUGUGUUUGUCUGUUUGAAUUUUCAGUGUUAAUCUAACUAUGAAACAGUUUUAUCCGUGUUUCAUGUCAUUAUCUUCUGAUGGAGGUGACUUGAAGAUACCAUUUCCAUGAACUAAAUGAAUAUUUUUAAAGUUUUGUUAGCUUGAACAGCUGUAGUACUUCUGUUUGCAAGGUAUAAUUGUGAAUUUGCAGGUUUUUAUGAAGAAUCUCUAUGCAAAUGCACUACUGAUAAGAAGGUAUUAAUGUCAAGUUAAUAUUUAGUCUUUCAUUUAGAUAAGGUUUGGUUAUGGAGGUGUUUUCUUUAAGACAAUCCCUUGUUAGAUCUCUUGCUAUAAGCUCUGAAAUUUCUUUAAAUACUCGAAGAAAAAUCUAUGCCUAUUGCUUGUUAGGUUUUUUUUUUAAUUAAGGCUCAAUGCAGUCACACAAAGCCAUUUUACAAUGUGUUAUGUCUCAUAGAAUCACAGAAUGAAAGGGACCUUAAAGAUCAUUUAGUUCCACCUCCGCUGCCAUGGGCAGGGACACUUUCCACUAGAUCAUGUUGCUCAAAGCUACAUCCAACCUGGCCUUGAACGCCUCUGCGGAUGGAGCAUCCACAGCUUCUCUGGGUAACCUGUUCUGGUGCCUCACCACCCUCACAGUGAAGAAUUUCUUCCUAAUCCCUAAUCUAAAUCUGCUUUCUUUUAGUUCAAAACCAUUACCUUCUGUCCUUUUGCUACACUCCCUGAGAAAGAGUCUAUUCCCCUCUUCCCCGCAGGCCCCCUUUAAGUACUAGAAGAGUAGCUAUAAGGUCUCCUCAGAGUCUUCUCUUUUUAUUUGGGCCAAACAACUCCAGCUCUCCCAGCCUGACUUUAUAGCAGAGGUGUUCCAGCCCUCUGGUGAUGUCAUGGUUUUGUAACUGCUGUGGCCCUCCUCUGAACCCACUCAAAGAGGUCCAUGUCUUUCUUAUGCUGGAGGCCCCAGAGCCGAAUGCAGUGCUCCAGGGAAUUUAUGCUUUGUUCCCAGUUUUGGAUUCUGCUGCACCCUUAUCGUGUGACCUUCAACAAGUUACUAAGAAUAAAGAUUUUCAUAGAUAGCUUUAGAUUUUGAGUGUUCCAACUUGGGCUUUCUUUCAGAAGCAGGCAUUGCUCACAGCUGCAGGGACACAUACCAAGCCCAGCUGAUACAAGCUGGACACUGAAAUCCAAAGAAAAACUUGAAGAAAGUCGAUCUUAAUCUCUCUCUGGUUGUUGUGAGAAUUAGUUAACUUGUCUGUAAAUAAUUUUAGAGCCUUAACAGGAAAGUGCUGAAGAGGUGCAAGGUGUUAAUAUAUUGUACUGAAAGAAUGGAAGCAUGAAAAAUCAGUAAUAAUGAGAAAACAAUAGAAAGGAAAAAAAAAAGGAAAAAACAAAGAAAAAAAACCUUCU